UACGAAGGGGGCUAGCGUUGUUCGGAAUCACUGGGCGUAAAGGGCGCGUAGGCGGACUCUUAAGUCGGGGGUGAAAGCCCAGGGCUCAACCCUGGAAUUGCCUUCGAUACUGGGAGUCUUGAGUUCGGAAGAGGUUGGUGGAACUGCGAGUGUAGAGGUGAAAUUCGUAGAUAUUCGCAAGAACACCAGUGGCGAAGGCGGCCAACUGGUCCGAAACUGACGCUGAGGCGCGAAAGCGUGGGGAGCAAACAGG
rnacentral:rRNA from 1 species